AAAAUUACACUUUUGAAUUAUUCAAUCAAUAAAUUUAUGGCCAAAAUAGAAGAUCGUUUGGAUUUUCCAAUAAAUGCAAUGAAUAAAUAUUUUAAUAUCUACGGCCAGUUAUAUUCCUUUUACAUCAAUAAUUGACCAUCCUCUCAAAUGAGAACCUCUGCGACGAGGUAGAUUAUCCCAUAAAGGAGUAAAUGAAUAAAACAGAGAGAGAGGAGAUCGCCACAUAUAAACGCAACAAUGCCAAGAACUCGAGGAAACGAGCCAGAGGGGAAGGAAAGGUCUGGGUUAGGGGGCGCUACGAGCUCGAAUAUUCCAUCUCGAAAAGCUUUCCACUUCCACGCGCCACGCACACAUGCUUCAUACAGGGUGUUCCAGAAAUAGGUGUACCUCUCCCCAAGAGUGAAAACAAUAAUAAACAUAAAUCUACGAAACUCUUCCCUUUUGACUUACAAAAACUCUCUUUUCAUUCACCUUGAAUUUUCAUGUGAAUAACCUAAAUAAUCUAAAUGUGGGACCAUCUAACUCAUUAGUAAAACUAUUUGAAAAGCAUUCCGGCUAUUUCCACAAAACUCAAGUUUUACCUGAAAGGUAAAGGAAAGAACAAUUUUUCAAUAUAUUAAAAAAAAAAAAAAAUGAAAGACUGUCAGAUAGUUUGGCUACUAGUUUGUUAUAUUUCUGAAUCAGCCUGUAUACGUCAUAAUACACACGCUUCGGCCGUUUGCACAUGCUGCUCGGAUAUCUGACUCUAAAGCCUUUAAACCUGGCAUCUUCUCCCCCUUCCAGCCCCCCUUCGUGACCUCGAGGAGUUUCGCGAGUCGCGAAAAUAGACCACCCCAAGACGUGUGAGUUAGAGAGAAAAAGAAGGUGGGAGAGAAAGAAGCGUUUUCCUGCGGCGUCUACUUAGUCAUGGACUCGGGGGGGAAAGCACCGUGGAACUCCGCCCUUGCGGAAAGAUUAGUGGGUGAAAAAUUCAAGGACAACGGCUGAACGCGGAACGACUAUUUCGAGAACGAAUUUCCCUUCGGGCGAGAGGGACCGUUUCGCCGCGGGACACUUUCUGUCUGCGUGAGUGGAACGAUUGCUUUUUCUUGUUUGAUGACGAAGACGGAAUGGACGUUCUUCGUUGGAAACCUUUUUCCUUUGACGAUCUUUUCUCCGUGUUUUCCGCUGUGUUUGAAAGAGAGAGCAUGAUCAUGGUUCGCAAACAUCGUAAAUUUGGAACGCGUACUGAAAAUACAGGCAUUGUGUGAACCGUGUGUUUUAAAGGAUUGAAAAUCCGCGUUCACUUUAUCUGGUCGAGACAUUUGCUAAUUUUGUAUCUUAUCGCGUAUCUAAAAACGAGAGAUUUCCUAUAAGCGUCAGCAUGUUUUUUACUUCUUUCGUACGUGAUUUUUAAAUGUUGCGUUCCAGUCAGGUGCACGCAUGCGCGUUGCGCGUCUGACGUACGUGCAUCUGGUGCGCAUGCGCCUGUCGUUUAUACGAAAUUGACGUCUUUCAAUUCAGGGAAAAUUCCCACCGAAUCCAGAUAGACGAUUUUUAGGUUAGAAUUCCCAUAUUAAAAAUGUCACGGAUUCGUUUACUAUGAAUAUAUAAAUAGAUAUUUCUUGUAAUUUUACUUGAAUACGAGUAGGAAACGUUCUAUUACGUGUAAGAAUGAAGUGUAACAAAGUAGAGGUAAUUUCUUUAUACUUUGAAUGACAACUACUUCCACAAAUAAGUUAGCUGUCGAAAUGAAUUUCUUUUCCAUCUUGUUGAACAACUAAUCUUGAAGCGGCAACAUUUUAUGGAUAACCACGUGGCGUCGAGCAGAAAACGGUCAUGAAAGAAAGGCGAUUUGACAGCAUAAUAAACGUCCGCAGGCACGACGUUGGUUUUUCUUCGGCGACCAUGGAAAAAUCGAUAGGAAUCAGGCCGCGUCAAAGGAAUAACUAUCGAGACUCGAGGAUAUUAUGUUGUAUAAAAAAAAAAGAAAAAAAUAGAAAAGGAGAAAGUACACGCCUCUUUUUUCCCUUUAAGGUUAAUUUGCAUUUAUUAUCAUAUCGAGCGAUACUUGACGACUUUUUUCAUACAUAUUUUAAGGGAUUGUUGGCAAAUUAUACGGUGGUACACCAUAAAUGAAAAUGCACAGAUAAGUGUAUCUGUUAUUCUAAAAUCAAUUUUUUCAAACUUCUGUUCAAUUUUAAGACUGUUUUAAGAAGUUUGUAAAUUUUGCUGUGGUUCAUUCUGUCAUUGAACAACUUUCAUGUAUUAUAAUUUUAAUCAAAACAUAUGAAUUCUGUAUAAAAAAAGAUUAAAUAUACUAUUAAACAGCAAGAUAGAUAAAACGAAAUUGAAAUUAAAUUAAAAAUAACUAGUUUCAAAGGUUCUUCGCCGAUGAGACAACUAACGAAGCUCAAUGCAAAGUUUUCUGGGGGCAGUGCACCAUGGUUCACUUACUUUAAAGUUCUCUACGCCCUCGCCAACUUGCUCGAUGUCACCUGCGCACUCGGAUCCCAUAAUGAAAGGAGUUUUUGGUGGGGAAUCGAUAGCACCCUGUCUCGCCAUCAGAUCUUGGAAAUUUAGUCCGCUGAAAAGACACACGAAUACACAUUUUAGAACAAAAAAAAAAAGAAAAAAAAAAGAAAAAGGAAAAGGAAACUGCUACACGCAGUGUUAAAGGUGAUCGAUGCGGAUAAAAUAUUCGUGGGCAGUGUUCGCGCCGCUUUUCCAAGAAACGACACGAACAAACGGCGUCGGUGCUGGUACAAGGCUCUGAUAAAGCGUCUAUCGGCGUUAUUUCACGGUCCCCAACCGAAAGAGGCACCAGUUGUGCGUUGCGUGCGACGCCAGGCGUCGAUCUAGGCGUCGUGGCGCCUCGACUUACCCUCCCCAUCUGUCAGUCGCCGCUGCUAGGGUUGGCAAAAGCUCGAAGGUAACCGCACACGUGUAUUUAUACGGAGGAAAAAAAAAAAAAAAAACGGAGGUAUAAGUCACCGUGGGACUGCACACGCAUCCGAAAUGUUCUAUUUCAGCCCUCUCCCCCCUCUGCCGCCAUCCACCCUCUCCUUAAGCUGCAUUUACAUUAGUCACGUUAUCCUCACGAUACCUCUGAACUCGACUGAAAAUAUCCUUUUGCAAUUCACAAAACGGUUUCUGUUUUUAUUAAGCCUGGUGCACGCGGCAGAAGAAUUCAUGCAACGUGAGUUUAACCCGCGUUUGAGUUAUGCGUUCAGGCGUGACUGUCUCGUCUUCUCGCGGAGGAACAUCGGAGGAACUGGAAAAAUCUGUUCACCCUCGAGCAGCUUCUAUUUUUAUCCUCUACGAGCAUACAUGUAGGAAAAGAAGCGAUCGGUUGCCGCGACUGGAUCCUUCCGUUUGUCAUGAAAAUGCAUUUCAAUGACAGGGAAAGAUACCUUUUUUGUUUCCUUGUGCGUAGAUUGACCCGACAGACGCAGCUUGUCCUUGGCCUCGCGAAAAGCCGAAAUUAGAAAUGGCACUUAGCAACACAAAGAAAGAGAGAUUGGAGACGGUACAUGCAGAAAGAGAAGCGAUGGGAAGUGACAGAGGCCUGUGCUGUAUGGUUGUCUCGAGCGGAAAUGGGAUAAUGUAAUUGUCCCUCCUAUCAGUGGGGGAUUACUCAGUUCUCAACAAAUACACUCAGCGAUACAAGAAUUUUAAGCAUGCGAACUGUACGCUUUUUACGGAUCUCCUUUCGUAUUACGUGUUUAAUAUCACGCUAAUCCUCCGUGCCGAACAAAGUAUUAAAGCAAAUCCCUUGAAAUAUCCCCUCACGUGAUUUAAUAUCGUCCAGAUGAUUAAUUGGCCAAAAAAGAUGAUAAAAUUUAAUGUUAGUAUAACAUUAUAUUGCAUUUAGUUCGGCAACUAUUUGUACAAAAUGACGAUAUGACAAUUAUAAAAAUCGCAAAUUACUGGAGAACUUUCGUUAUCUUUGACGCCAUUGUUUCAGAAAUGAAAUUUCAGCGAGUUCUCUGUGAAAUGUACAUAUCAUGGAACUUUAUCGAUGACUCAUGUGUGUCAUAUAACUUCCUGGGAAUAACCAGCAUGAUAAAUCAUCAUACUUGCAUUGGAAAAUAUCACGCAAGAUAAAUAAAACAUGAGAAACUUGUCAAUUACUGUAUCAUUUUACUUCGCCAGAAGAAACUUGUUUGAAAACUCAUUCUCAUCAGUUUGUUUAUCUUGAAAUUUAUUCAAUGUUCGAUAGAUCGAUUUCAGCAACUUCCCUGUUAUUGUUUCUCUGUUCAUAUCAAACAAUCGUCAAAACCAACGAAUCGUAAAUUGCAAAUUAUUGGAGAAACUUGUAAUAGACGCCCUUGAAAUGGAACAUCAUGUGUAACUACGUAGUACGUAAUACAAUAAGUUUUUACAACUUGUCGUAUCACAUACCUAUUACGAUUAUAUUUCUGCAUAACCAUAAUCUGUUAAGAAACGAAUGAAGAAACUAUACUUAUACAAAGUAGCAAAAAAGGAAUCCACGUGCGUAUUACGUGUAUGACGCUACGAGCAAAGGUUAAUUAUCGAACAAAAAUGUAUAAAGGAGGAGUACAUCGGGUGAUUACAGUUCGAUUACAGUUUGACACGAUGGAAAUUUCGUUUGACACACGUCGAGUCAUUAUCACAGCUAGACAAAAAAAAAAACGCUAGAAAGCUGUAGAACCUGCGCAACGAUUUCGCAAGAGUUACGAAAUUUCGCAAUUUGACGAUUUCCUACCCGCGUUUCGUAACGAGAGUCAAUUAUUCCCCUCGCUUUUCGUACAAUCGCAACUUCUGGCGCGUGACGCGCUAAAUCGAGCGAGCAUAUCGAAACGAAACGAAAUGUAGUUUACCGAAUGAUAAGACAGAGAGUUAAGUAAGUUGCAGCGCGUUUCAGUUCAAAAAAACACGUUCAUUUCUCAAUAGACUCGCGGGUAAACAGGUUAACGGAAUUAAUAGCGACAAGCUAUUUUAUGAUAAUGAAGCACCGUGGCCGUUUAAUAAAGCUCGAGUUGUCGAUCCUUGCGCCGCGCAAAUAUACUACUACAAUUGAUCAUCAAAAAUGGAUUUGAUACGCUACCGACUGAUAGAAAACUCGAGCGACGAAGCUCGAGUUCCUAGCAAAGGGCAAAAGGUUCCUGGAGUUACGGGGCUGCUACGUGAGGCACGGUUCGCGAUCGUUUAAUUUCUUUAAAUUGCAUGGAAUUGAGGAGAAUAAUUUUCUCCAUUCUUGGCACCGGCCAAUUGCACGGGAGGAGGAGGAGGUGGAGGUGGAGGUGGAGGUGGAGGUGGAGGAGGAGGAGGAACGGCGACCAUCGUGAGGACGAAGACAUGCAACAACGCACCCCAGGGUCACGCACACCACAUGCGAGAAUAAAAGAAGAUAGUCGGAGAACUGGGAGAGACGGCAGACUGCGAAGGGGGACGAAGAGCAGCAGAAGAGCGAGAGGGGCCGGGAGCGCGAGGGAGACGAACGGAAAGGGAGCGAAGAAGUAAAAACACGAAGCAAAAAACGAAGGCAGAGAAAGG